AAGGAAUAUUGGACAAUGGGCGAAAGCCUGAUCCAGCAAUGCCGCGUGAGCGAUGAAGGCCUUAGGGUUGUAAAGCUCUUUUACCCGGGAUGAUAAUGACAGUACCGGGAGAAUAAGCCCCGGCUAACUCCGUG
rnacentral:rRNA from 1 species